rnacentral:rRNA from 1 species
GUGGGGGAUAUUGCACAAUGGGGGGAACCCUGAUGCAGCGACGCCGCGUGAGGGAAGACGGUUUUCGGAUUGUAAACCUCUGUCUUUAGGGACGAAACAAAUGACGGUACCUAAAGAGGAAGCCACGGCUAACUACGUGCCAGCAGCCGCGGUAAUACGUAGGUGGCAAGCGUUGUCCGGAAUUACUGGGUGUAAAGGGAGCGUAGGCGGGAAUGCAAGUUGAAUGUUUAAACUAUGGGCUCAACCCAUAGUCGCGUUCAAAACUGCAUUUCUUGAGUGGAGUAGAGGCAGGCGGAAUUCCUAGUGUAGCGGUGAAAUGCGUAGAUAUUAGGAGGAACACCAGUGGCGAAGGCGGCCUGCUGGGCUCUAACUGACGCUGAGGCUCGAAAGCGUGGGUAGCAAACAGG